AGACCAUGAUGUCGACACUUCCUCUACAAUUCUUUAAAUCUCUCGCAGGCUACAUACAAAGAUUCACUAUCAAACUGAACAAAACUGGUAAUAUCAUUACUAAGUUU